ensembl:snRNA U6 U6 spliceosomal RNA
GUGCUUGCUUCAGCAGCACAUACCUAAAAUUGGAACAAUACAGAGAAAAUUAGCAUGGCUUCUGUGUAAGGAGGCAGUACAAAUUUUCAAAGCAUUCCAUAUUUUG